AUAAAUAGACCCAAUCCGAAUUCAGCAGCGAGUCCAAACGCAAUGUUCACUUUUCUUCACUCCGCUUCCACUUCUUCUCCUUCCUUCUCUCAGAUCAUCACUCAUCGUUUUGCUACAAUCGCUCCUCCCUCUCGCGUCUUGCUCAGAAACGGCGUCAGGUGCAAAGCAAUAGACACAGUGAAGUUGGAGAAUGGGAGGCCAAGUGUGAGUGAGUUAAUUGUUAGCGGAACUGGAAGCGCGAUUCCGAGUUUCCUUGUGGCGCCAAACGCUCGUAUUCAGGAUUUGGGUAACAGAAACGACACACGUCUUCGGAUUUUUUCCGGCACUGCCAAUCCGGCGUUGGCUCAGGAAAUUGCAUGCUACCUGGGCCUGGAGCUAGGAAAAAUUAAGAUAAAGCGUUUUGCUGAUGGUGAGAUAUAUGUUCAGCUGCAAGAGAGUGUUAGGGGAUGCGAUGUAUUUCUUGUGCAGCCCACAUGUCCUCCCGCCAAUGAGAAUCUUAUGGAGCUUUUGAUAAUGAUUGAUGCCUGUAGGAGAGCUUCAGCCAAAAAUAUUACUGCAGUCAUUCCGUAUUUUGGAUAUGCUAGAGCUGAUAGAAAGACUCAAGGGCGUGAAUCCAUUGCUGCCAAGCUUGUGGCAAAUUUAAUUACUGAAGCAGGUGCAAAUCGUGUUCUUGCUUGUGACCUCCAUUCUGGGCAGGCCAUGGGCUAUUUUGAUAUUCCAGUUGAUCAUGUGUAUGGACAGCCUGUUAUACUUGAUUACCUUGCCAGCAAGACUAUUUGUUCAGAUGAUUUGGUAGUCGUCUCACCAGAUGUCGGUGGUGUUGCUAGAGCUCGUGCUUUUGCCAAAAAAUUGUCUGAUGCUCCUUUAGCUAUUGUUGAUAAAAGGCGUCAUGGGCAUAAUGUUGCUGAGGUAAUGAAUUUAAUAGGUGAUGUAAAGGGAAAGGUAGCAGUUAUGGUAGACGACAUGAUUGACACUGCUGGGACAAUUGCCAAAGGUGCAGCUCUAUUGCAUCAAGAAGGGGCAAGAGAAGUCUAUGCAUGUACUACACAUGCUGUUUUCAGGUAUAAUGACUGUUAUAUUCUGUUAAUCAUUUAUUUCAAGUUAUGAUUUGUACUGGGACGCUUGAAUCAUGACAACUGUGGUGAGUUUGCAACUUGAGCCAAUUAUUAAGCAAAAAGAAAUCAGUCAACACUAGCUCUUUUACACAUUCCUGCCCCCUUGGCGGGAAUAACACAAAGAAACUAAUAUGUCCCUUGUCUUCUUUCCUUUUUUUCCUAUCUUGAUACACAAUUUACAGUGUAUUUCAUUUGAUUUUCAAAGCCAAGAAGUAUUACAAUGUUGAUGAUUGAUUGGAUUUAUUACAACAAAUUCUAUAUGUUUCUCUUUUGAGCUUUAUCUAUGGGAACUUAGAAGUUCCAGUGAAGUGCUAUUUUUGUAGUUGCAAGUGGUUAGCCUGAAUCUUAGUUUGAAGUUAGUGCAGAGUUUGGCAAGGGAAUUGUUGAGUUUUAACCUUCAGGUUGUUUCAAUUUGCGGCGGCCAACAUAUUGUAGUUUCUCUUGAUGUUUAAACUGUUUGUUAUGCUAUAGUUGUUCUAAAGCACUUCCUGAUUCAGUUAUCCAUUGGUCAGCUGAAGCAGCAUAUUUGCGUUUGGCAUAUGCCAGUUUGGAGUAGUUCUUAUUUCCUGUUUGAUUGAUAACAGGUUAUUCAGUAAUAGUAACUAGGGAAGAAGUUUGCACUUCUCCGCUGUAUCUUUGGGAUGGAGUUGUAUUUUUUGUCUACUUUUUUUCAGCCUCCGUUCUCUCCUACUCUCAUUAUUAUCAUUCCAGCCCCAAAAUUCUCUUCCAAAAACAUCUUUCUCCAUCAUUUGUAAUAUUGUUUGCAGGUUGCCUUGUCCUCUUGUCUCUGUAUUACUAACCUUUUCUAGCCUUUAGCAAAAGGAUGGUGCCUGGGGAGAUUUGAAAGCUGUAGCCUGUAAAAUCCUUUUCACUUUUCCCCCCCUCCCUGAUGGUGUGGGACCGAACCUGACCUUUCAGCUCCCUCUACCCAACCACGUCCGAGUUUGUUCAUGUAUAAAGAUAGAUAAGAUUUCCAACAUUCUCUUCUUUUUCUGCUGCGUGGAUGGAUAUAUAAACUAUGAUGGAUGUUUUGGAAUGAUGGUACUAAAUGGUACAUUUAUUUAUGUCUUCUGAUCCAAGGCAUUAUACUUUGUAAUUACGUAUCAUUUUUGCCUUUGCAGUCCUCCAGCUAUCGAGAGGUUGUCAAGCGGUUUGUUUCAAGAAGUUAUCAUAACUAAUACAAUUCCAGUGGCAGAACAGAACUAUUUUCCCCAAUUAACUGUCCUAUCAGUGGCAAACCUUCUGGGAGAGACCGUAUGGCGGGUUCAUGAUGAUUGCUCAGUGAGUAGUAUAUUUCUGUAAAUUUGUUGGUUAUUUCUCAUUCUACCUAUAAGAAAAGUUAAAAUGAUAGAGAGCGAGACCACCUUCUUGACUUUACAAACACACAUGAUUGCAUACUUAUAUACAAAUAAUUAGUUUUUGUUGGUCUUUUCUUUCUUUCUUUUUUUUUUUUUUUUUUUGUUUAAAUAUUUUGUAGUUUUGUUUGUGUGGGAUAGAGUACUUUAUCUUGCAAUGUUUUCUUCUUUUUUUCUUUUAUCUUCUUUGUCAGGGUGGAAUUGAACCUUAUUCCAGUUUGGGCAUUGAUUGAACAAUUUGUAUCAAUGGUAUCCUCAUUCCAGCUUAUGACACUGCGGUAACAAGCGGCAGAAUUGUAAAGUAAUUUUUUUAGUGAAACCUUUACUUGAAAGAUACCUUAUAGAAAGCUGAUUCGGGGGACUUUCGUACGUACAAAAUACCGUAUAUAUUGGAAAUAUACAAUGGAAGUCGUGUGUCUUUUUACUCUUUUUUUUUUUAUCCCUUCUUACCCGGCAAGUGGAGUCUAUCUCUAUUUAGCUCUGAUAGCAACAGGAAGGUUUUUAGAAGUCAGAAUGGUGAAUAAUGGCAUUGGAUUUGUGUGGCUAUAUUCUUCUCCGACUUCAAGGAGACGUUUGGUGUAUGAAACUUUUAGUUAUUGGAAAUUAUGUUUUU